rnacentral:rRNA from 1 species
CCUACGGGAGGCAGCAGUCGAGAAUCAUUCACAAUGGGGGAAACCCUGAUGGUGCGACGCCGCGUGGGGGAAUGAAGGUCUUCGGAUUGUAAACCCCUGUCAUGUGGGAGCAAAUUAAAAAGAUAGUACCACAAGAGGAAGAGACGGCUAACUCUGUGCCAGCAGCCGCGGUAAUACAGAGGUCUCAAGCGUUGUUCAGAACCACUGGGCGUAACGCGUGCGUAGGCUGUUUCGUAAGUCGUGUGUGAAAGGCGCGGGCUCAACCCGCGGACGGCACAUGAUACUGCGAGACUAGAGUAAUGGAGGGGGAACCGGAAUUCUCGGUGUAGCAGUGAAAUGCGUAGAUAUCGAGAGGAACACUCGUGGCGAAGGCGGGUUCCUGGACAUUAACUGACGCUGAGGCACGAAGGCCAGGGGAGCGAAAGGGAUUAGAUACCCCUGUAGUC